AAGAAAUUAAUGUAUUUUUUUAUUUAGCAUGGAUGGAAUGGGUAAGUAAGAGUAGUAGAGGCUAAAGUGUGAUGGUGUUAAUUAUGGUUCAAUUUGUUAGUACAAUAUUCGUAGUUAGCUAACAUAUAAAAGCAAAAUAAUUUAACAAGUGUGUGUAAGGCUUAUCCAGAGACACAUUGAUGGGCCAUUUGAUCCCACGCAGGGCUAUCAGAUCUACGUGUGGCCUUCAUAUACUCCUUACGUUCAUUCUCAUAUACUCCUUACAAGUGCAUUGCAUCAUUAUUUAAGAUAGUCUGGCACUUGAUCAUCUCCGAGCAAGGUUGCUAUUUGUUACUCUUGGAGGUUGCCACCUAGACGGCUUGGAAGAGUUGCCCGGUGACAUCUUUGAGGAUGUUGUGGAAGAGGCUUGGUGUUGUUUGUGAGUAGUUUAGAGUUCAUCACCUUCAAAGCGAAGGAAGAAUUACCCUAGUGAUCGAGGAUUGGAUUGACCACUUCGGAACCGGUUCCCAUCUUGCCCACUCCUUGACGAAGGGGUCCAAAGGCUUGGAGGUGUGAGCAGUGAAGUUGGGCUCGCCUCAACGAGGGGUAGAAAACCAGCGAGUUUCCGAACAUACGUUGGGUUAAAGAAAAUCAUCGGCGGUUGUGGUGGAAAACAUCUGGACGUUGAAAUACGAUCGUACGGUCGUAGAUGGCUCAAACGGGUGCGUCCCCUCCGUCUCGCUGACACGUGGGGCUAAUCCUGCGGUGGUUUCCUCGGCGCCGCCGUCCUUUGCCCAAGUGCGUCGCCGGCGGUGGCAGAGUCCCCCUCAGAAGCGAGCCGGCGUCACCGAGGCCCUCGCCGAGUGCUGAGGGCAUGCUCUCCAUGUAUUCGACGGAAUGCCAGUAAUGUGGAUGCUCCACCUUUUCUCCUUCUUUGUUCUUUUGAUUGAGAUUUCAUCUGGGAUUUAGGAGGUGAUGGCUCUAGUUUCUUUGCAAAUCCGAGUAACCGAGUUUGAUCGGUUGUUGUGCGCUCCAAUCCCCUUGUGGUUCUUGCAGGGGCACCAGGAGAGAUGGACUAUGAGUUAAACCAAUGUGUGGCAUGCCGGUCCGGCAAAAUGACUCUUUGUAACCAUUUGAGAAUUGUUGAUCACAGAAUGAGAGAUUAGCCCAGCGGAUUGGAUUGAUGUGCAUUAGCCACUUCCAGUAAUGGGGAAUAUUAUAUGGGUAAAUCACAAACCCACUAAAGAGAAGAAAAAUGGACACUACAAGCCCUGCAAACAGAAAACAAAUAUGUCCAAACUGUUUAAGUUUAACUUCUUUUUUAAAAGGAAUUGAUGACACUGCACUCAGGAAGAAGAAAAUCGAUGAUCCAAAGUAAGCUACCAGAAACAUCAGAAAAAGUUGAAGGCGGAUAUGGCCUCGGACAUGGUGUAAGGUGGAGAAAGUUUGAGCUAGGUGCUUUUGUUGACCAAACAUUGGCCCUGUUGAUAGAUACUGCAUCGGCUCUUCAUUUAUGGAAAUUCCUGUUACCACAUCACCAAUUUGGAUAUUGCCUGUACUUUCGACCCCACUGGAAGUCCCAGGUCAAGGAUCUGCAAGACAUAUUCCAGGAAGGGGUCUUGUCCUUCCACAAGGGCAUAUGCGAAGAAUUUUCUCAUCUGCGGUGUGAAAUUUUCUGGCUGGAGACCUUGUGUGCAGUCCCUUGCAAACUCAAGGGUUUCUCGGACAGAUAGGAAGGGAAUGUGCCUACAAGAGCAAUUGAAGUUUUGGAUGUCAAAUAAUAAGUAUCAUAAAUGUCAAUUACCAGGUGGGCCAAGGAGUAGCGUCAUGGAACCUGGCAUGAUGUAGCCAUCAAUUCCUUUCAAGAUGUGGAGUUCAGUUGAUCUCUGCCCCAUGGACAGGCUCCUCACUGGUUGGACAAACCAUUCAAGUAGCUUGUUGCCAAAGGUCUCAUAUCUGAAGGUUGAAGUUUCAAUCUUUGCCGAGUAUGUUAUCCCACAGAAUUUGACAAUCUGCAGCAAACACACAAUGUCAUUACUGUCUGUUUGUGCCUAAUAAAUAAUACUGGUUUGCAUAGUAAGUUUAUGUUUUCUAAACCUGUUAAUACUCUAGUCUGGCACUUUUAGAUGUUUCAAUUUGUUUCCACUGUAUGCUCUUGGAUGUUUCUUUAGAA